AUUGAACGCUGGCGGCAUGCUUUACACACGCAAGUCGAACGGUAACAGGUCUUCGGAUGCUGACGAGUGGCGAACGGGUGAGUAAUGUAUCGGAACGUGCCCAGUAGUGGGGGAUAACUACUCGAAAGAGUGGCUAAUACCGCAUGAGAACUGAGGUUGAAAGCGGGGGACCGUUCGGGCCUCGCGCUACUGGAGCGGCCGAUAUCAGAUUAGGUAGUUGGUGGGGUAAAGGGCCUACCAAGCCGACGAUCUGUAGCUGGUCUGAGAGGACGACCAGCCACACUGGGACUGAGACACGGCCCAGACUCCUACGGGAGGCAGCAGUGGGGAAUUUUGGACAAUGGACGCAAGUCUGAUCCAGCAAUGCCGCGUGCAGGACGAAGGCCUUCGGGUUGUAAACUGCUUUUG
rnacentral:rRNA from 1 species